rnacentral:rRNA from 1 species
AGUGAACGCUGGCGGUAGGCCUAACACAUGCAAGUCGAACGGCAGCACAGUAAGAGCUUGCUCUUACGGGUGGCGAGUGGCGGACGAGUGAGGAAUACAUCGGAAUCUACUUUUUCGUGGGGGAUAACGUAGGGAAACUUACGCUAAUACCGCGUACGACCUACGGGUGAAAGCAGGGGAUCUUCGGACCUUGCGCGAUUGAAUGAGCCGAUGUCGGAUUAGCUAGUUGGCGGGGUAAAGGCCCACCAAGGCGACGAUCCGUAGCUGGUCUGAGAGGAUGAUCAGCCACACUGGAACUGAGACACGGUCCAGACUCCUACGGGAGGCAGCAGUGGGGAAUAUUGGACAAUGGGCGCAAGCCUGAUCCAGCCAUACCGCGUGGGUGAAGAAGGCCUUCGGGUUGUAAAGCCCUUUUGUUGGGAAAGAAAAGCAGCAGGUUAAUACCCCGCUGUUCUGACGGUACCCAAAGAAUAAGCACCGGCUAACUUCGU